UACGUAGGCAGCGAGCGUUGUUCGGAAUUACUGGGCGUAAAGAGUGUGUAGGCGGUGUUCCCAGUCUGUUGUGAAAUCUCCCGGCUUAACUGGGAGGGUGCAGCGGAAACUAGAAUGCUAGAGGGUGGGAGAGGUAAGCGGAAUUCCUGGUGUAGCGGUGAAAUGCGUAGAGACCCGGAGGAACACCAGUGGCGAAGGCGGCUUCCUGGUCUGCGACUGACGCUGUGGCGCGAAAGCUAGGGGAGCGAACGGG
rnacentral:rRNA from 1 species